rnacentral:tRNA from 1 species
GGGCGAUUAGCUCAGUUGGUUAGAGCGUCUCCUUUACACGGAGAAGGUCCCUGGCUCGAGCCCAGGAUCGCCCA